GACGAACGCUGGCGGCGUGCUUAACACAUGCAAGUCGAACGGAAAGGCCCUGCUUUUGUGGGGUGCUCGAGUGGCGAACGGGUGAGUAACACGUGAGUAACCUGCCCUUGACUUUGGGAUAACUUCAGGAAACUGGGGCUAAUACCGGAUAGGAGCUCCUGCUGCAUGGUGGGGGUUGGAAAGUUUCGGCGGUUGGGGAUGGACUCGCGGCUUAUCAGCUUGUUGGUGGGGUAGUGGCUUACCAAGGCUUUGACGGGUAGCCGGCCUGAGAGGGUGACCGGCACCAUGGGACUUGGGAACCGGCCAGGCUUCUUCCGGGAGGAACAGUGGGGGAAAAUUCACAAUGGGCCGAAGGCUGGAGGAGGAACGCCGCGGGGGGGAUGGCGGGCCUCGGGGUGGUAACCCGCUUUGGCUUGGGAGAAGGGGUGAGUGACGUAAAUGGGUAAAGAAGCACGGGUUAACUACGC
rnacentral:rRNA from 1 species